GACCGCGCUAUUGAAACUGAUAUCAAACAUCGACAUGGAAGAAAAGGCUGGAUAACGCAACAUAUGCUUAUUUUCAGUUGUUAUCUUCAUCUUAUCCAAGAUCUUAUCUUAUGUAUGCAUGUUCGCAUCAGUAAUUUAAAGUCGUUUAAAUCCAGCAUUGAAAUUAUCUUUUUUUUUAAUUAUUAUUUUGAAACAUAGCAUAGCGCAAGGUGAACGUUGGAGUGUUCCAUGUAAGAUAGAAUACGUUUGGGAAUUUUUGUGAAUUCUAGUGUAUGGUUUUAUAAUUUUCUAAGUCAAAUAGCAGCACUUAAGAAGAACUUGGUGGUCCUUGAUUCAUGUCAAUUGGUGAGAAGACUGCCAGUAAACAACUCAGGUUCUCUCUCUUGGAUUGGUCACAUGAAAUGAGAAACACUCUUCAGGUUACCACAGCGAUCCUACCCUCACAAAUACUAGGUUAAGUUCUCUUUACUUUUAACCCUUUUACCAAUAUUGCACACGGAGUUCAUCUUUCCCUUUAGUUGAAGAGGAAUCGUAUUUCUCUUUUCCAAAAUCCCUUGGGAUCUCAGUAUGAGCCAAAAUUGUAUUUCACUUUUCAUUGUUUGAACGAUAGAAUAAUUGGGGAGUUGCCUCAUAUCAUCGCGUGAAUGUUACAUAGCGGUUGUAGUUAUACUGAGAUGAAACACUGAUAUUGAAGUCUCAGA